GGGCGCUUAGCUCAGCUGGAAGAGCGCAUGCCUUACACGCAUGAUGUCAGGGGUUCGAGUCCCUUAGCGCCCACCA
rnacentral:tRNA from 2 species